rnacentral:lncRNA from 1 species
GGUUUUUUGAAUAGCACUACCUGCUCCAGGAUACGUUGCCAGAGAUCUUCUGCAUCUCACCAAGUAUGGCCAACAACAGAGAUGACUUACCACAACCAACUUGUCCUACAAUCAUCGUUAGCUGACCUUGAGGGAUUCGGAUAUCGAUGUUGGACAACGCUGGAGGACCUUCAGGUGUCCAAGUGAAAAAUCCAUUUGUGAUCUUUACACAAAAAUCAUCCGCUUCUGUGAUGUUAAUUGGUCUUCUUGUGUGAGAGGUGUAAUUGUUCCAGUCCUCC